GUGAGGAGAGAGGAGGUCAGAGAGAUUAGUUAGAUGUACAGAAAAUGCUGGAAAUGAACAAGAAGACAAUAACAUCUGAAAGAAAGGGGACUGAUACUACAGGUCUGACAGUUCGGGGUUAUUUGGGUAAUUGAACAGUAGCAAAGUAGUUAAGCUGUUAUACUGAAAGGCAUUUGGAUCCUGAAAAACGACUCAUCUCCCUCUACUUUUAUUAAUAAAAAGGCAAAGAAUUUUUCAUUAA